rnacentral:tRNA from 1 species
GCAGGGGUACCCGAGCUGGUCAAAGGGGCCGGACUUAAGCUCCGGUGCAUAGUGCUUCAUGGGUUCAAAUCCCAUCCCCUGCACCA